CUUCCUCAAUAGAGGGUGUGUUCAAUCAUAGGUGAUCAAUAAACUUGUUGUUGAUGUAUCAGCUAGCUAGCUCCUGCAAUGCAAGUACAGACAGUUCUUUUUAUCAGCAUCCAGCUGUUUUCUUUUGCUGCAGCCACUCUGACAUCCACCCCCCCUGUGGCCUGUCCUAAUGACACUGUCACUUUCACCUGCACUCUACCUGGUAGUGUCAUACGAUGGACGGCCAUUCAAGGCCGAGUAUCUUUGUUUAGCAUAUCAUUGUCUACCAGCAACACUGGUGAGACACAAGGUAAUCCAGCAUUCCGUGGUGUUCUCACUGACUCCAGUGGAGGAAUGCUCACUGCGACUCUCACCUCACUGUCUGAGGCCUCCAUUGUGGAGGGUAUUAUGGUGGAGUGUGACGGAGUGAGCUCACAAGAGGGUCCUCUCACCAUCACUGUGGCUGAUCCACCCUCUCCUCCACUCAACCCACGAGUAUCCUCCACUUUAAAUCAACCCAGUUCCUCUAAUAUUUCUCUGAAUUGGGACCCUCCCUCCUCUACUGGUGGUGUGUCCGUCAUGUAUGUCCUCACCAUCUCCCCAACACCUCUCUCCGAGUCACCAGUCACCGUGGAGACAACCUCUGCACAGAUCACUGUCCUAUAUAACAUUCCUUACAAUGUAACCACCAGAGCUGUCAACUGUGCUGGAAUGAGUCAAGAAAGUCUAAUUGUGGAUCUUAUUUUGUGCCCCACACUGUCUACUGCUGCUGGUGUGACCAUCACCAACACACCUUCUGUCACUAUUGGUGGAUCCAUGCUCACCUUCACUUGCGGUGGACCCAAUGAAGUGAUAACCUCAACCUGUGGCAGUAGUGGGUGGUCUCCUGACCCUGGGACCUUCGACUGUGGCACCCCAGUUACAGAUCCCCCAGUCACCUGUGGCUCUCCAGCUGCACCAUCCAGAGGCAGUGUGGACAUCAGUGGAGGGACACCACCCUUCUCACUGGAUUCAGAGGUCACCUUCCACUGUGAUGAGGGACUGUUCCCCCCUAAUGUGAGGACCAGCACAUGCACUGAUGUGGAGGGUAGGGGAGAGUGGGUGGAGAAUCCUGGGAGCUUGGUGUGCAGGGAGAGGCCAGUCAACUGCACUGCACCUGCUGAGCCGUGCAACGGUGCUAUAGUGGACUAUGAGAGGUUGAACGAGACAGUGUCGGAGGGAACAGUGCUGACUUACCGGUGUGACAAUGGAUUCUCACUGACUGGACCCAACACCAUCACUUGCACUAAUGCUAGAGUCUGGAGUACUGAGCCUGAGGCAAUCGUGUGUGUACUUAUGACUGAAGUAUUGAUCUGCUGACUCUCGUUAAUCUUGGUACAGUGCAGCUUGGCCAGAAUAGCAAGUUGGUUGAGGAAGCAACAGGGAGACUCGGGGAGUGGCUGAAGUGACUAAAUGUUUACAUGCAUAGGUAAGUCAUUCUAAGCCUAAGCUGUGUUGUUCUAUUCUCCUUCCGAGGAUCUAAACUUUAAAGGAUACUGAAUUGCAUUCAUGACACUAUCCAAUCUAGAUCUACCACAGAAACCAAUAUCAACAUUGACAAGUUGACAGCACGCUCCCGACCACAAAAGCUGCUAUUGACUCGACCACAACAUUAACAUGGUUGAAUUUUAGAUUAAGAUGGCCUUGAUACUUCAAAGCCUGUACAAAACGGCAAGUGCAAAUUCUGCUUUGAUGUCUAGCGCUGGUGAUGGCUUGGCCUGCCCCACUAUCUCAGUGGUAUUCACCUGCUCUGUUAAUAGAAGUUCACUUUUAUGGGAAGUGGAUCCUCCACCUGGCGUGGUUACUGCGCAGUUGACACAAGUGGUGUCUUCUGCUACUACUGAGCUAGUACCUAUAGGGGUAGAAGGUUUCAUGUUUCAAGCAGCUAGAACUGAGUUUAGUAGUAAUAGCCUCACCUCUACCCUCACCACAGUCACUGAGCUGUCCUUGCUGAACGGCACCGUUGUGCGUUGUAUUGGACAAGCAACAGAAUCCCUAACGAUCAUUGUUGGAGAGCCACCCACUUCUCCAUCAGCUCAAAUGGUGGCUUCACAACAAAACCAAAUCAGUUCCUCUAUUAUCACUCUGGAGUGGGACCCUCCCUCCUCUACUGGUGGUGUGUCUGUCAGCUACGUCCUCACCAUCUCCCCAACACCUCUCUCCGGGUCACCGACCACCUCAGCACAGAUAACCGUCUCCUACAACACUCCCUACAAUGUGACAAUCAGAGCUGUCAACUGUGCAGGAUCGAGCAGUGAUGUGAUGGUGAAAAUUCCUUUUAUUGUUACCUGCCCUUCUAACCCACCACGCGAACAGAGUUACCAUUGUUGGUGCUCCACCACUGCCUGCACUAGUAGGAUCAACACUAAGCUUCACUUGCAAUGGAGAGACGGUAUCAGCAACCUGUGAGAGUAAUGGACGAUGGUCACCUGACCCCGCCACAUACGCCUGUCUCUGAGAUCUCACCUGUGGCUCUCCUGCUGCACCAUCCAUGCAAUGGCAGUGUGGAUGUCAGUGGUGGGACACCACCCUUCUCACUGGGUUCAGAAGUCACCUAUCACUCUGACGAUGGACUGUUCCCCCUUGAUGUGAGGACCAGCACGUGCACUAAUGUGGGGGGUAGGGGAGAGUGGGUGGAGAAUCCUGGGAGCUUGAAUUGGUGUGCAAGGAGAGGCCAGCUAAUUGCACAGUACCCAAGGAGUCCUCCAACGGAACUAUAGUGAACUGUGAGAGGUUGAAUAAGACAGUGUUGGAGGGAACAGUGCUGACUUACCAGUGUGACAGUGGACUCUCACUGACUGGACCCAACACCAUCACUUGCAAUAAUGCUGGAGUCUGGAGCACUGGGCUUGACACCAUCGUGUGUGUGUCACCAACUGAAGCUCCGACUGUGACAGAUGCUACCACCCUAUCAACUGGUGUAACUCUUGCCAUCGGUGUUACUAUUACUUUCAUCGCGUCUACUAUCCUUGGAUUUCUCGCUGGACUCUUAGUGAUGUAUUCAUUCACGCGUAAGAAGGCAGUGUACUACACAAGAAAAACAGCAUUAUCUGUUGUAGAACCUACUACACCAGUUGGUCCUGUUUAUGAGGAGGUGUCACCCAAAGAGGAGAUUGAGCUGAACACUAACCAGGCGUACGGACCAUUAGGACGGUGAAACUUCGUGCUAUUAAUACUAUAUAUUAUUAUUAUUUUCUAGCCAGUAUUAUGUAGCUAGUGUUUCAUCUAUAGAUUAAUAAUGAUUUGUUUGACAAUAAUAAUUAUAGCACAUUCAUUAAUAAUCAACAAAGAAACGAGUACAC